CCGUGUUGCUUCCAGAUUCUUGCAGACACAUGGGGCCUCAAGCCAGAAGCUUAUCAGUUAGUUUGUUUUACAACAUCACCAUCGGGGGUUGUUUUUAAGGGUCUGCUUAUGCUGUGCGUCUCACUGUUUUAAGAGGUUACUCUAACACUGGGACAGUUAUCUCCUGUCCUCAAGGAGAUUGAAGUUUAAGUCAGAUAUCUUUGGAACCAGCAGAUGAGAGAAAACCCAGACAACAGAGCCAGUAUGGAACAAGGACAGACGUAACUACUAUUGUCCUACAAAAAUCCUAAGGCGUGACUAGUAUCCAGACUCCACUAAAUUUAUAGUUCAGAUCUUUCUUCCUGCUUAGCAUUUAGUAUUUCCAAUAACCUGAACCAACAGAGAUGCUGCUUAGCAUUUAGUAUUUCCAAUAACCUGAACCAAAAGAGAUGUUACAGAGAUGCUCGUAACAGUUGCAUGGACUUCUUUUACUCAUUUGCAUAUGCCCCAUCCCAUGGUAAAAAAGUGGAAAUCCAAAAGAUUCUUAUUUUUAUUCCCCAACAUCGCCUAGCUCCAUCACACUGCUGGUCAGUUCUGUGUGUUUCCUACCUAACAUGCCCAAAUCAAAGCCAAAUGAAAUGUCUUCCUAAGACUUUUCUUACGAUUAUUGAAAUAAAAAAUAUAUUUCUGUUAUUCCAGUUUCUGUUUAUGAUGGAAUAGCUUGAUCAUCUAUAGGUAAUAAUAGUGAUGAAAUCUGGACAGUUUGAAAUUAUUGGAGAAUAGCCUGAAGCAGGCAGGAACUGAAUAAAUCUAAACUUGAAAGACAGUGGCUGACAUUUAUUUGUGAAUUUUUGCCAGAGGGCAUUCUCCAGUCUUGGGUCAGGGACCCAAACAGAGGUGUCAGAGGAUAGAGUUCAAGACCAAUAGAAAACCUGCAAAAAAAAAAAAAAAAAAAAAAAGGAAAAUGUGAUACUUAAAGGAAAAAAGUCAACAGAAACAGACCCUGAGGUGACACAGAUGU